CCAUCAGAACUCCGCAGUUAAGCAUGCUUGGGCGAGAGUAGUGCUAGGAUGGGUGACCUCCUGGGAAGUCCUCGUGUUGCACCCCCGUCCUUUUUU
rnacentral:rRNA from 1 species